rnacentral:rRNA from 1 species
GACGAACGCUGGCGGCGUGCUUAACACAUGCAAGUCGAACGGAAAGGCCCUGCUUUUGUGGGGUGCUCGAGUGGCGAACGGGUGAGUAACACGUGAGUAACCUGCCCUUGACUUUGGGAUAACUUCAGGAAACUGGGGCUAAUACCGGAUAGGAGCUCCUGCUGCAUGGUGGGGGUUGGAAAGUUUCGGCGGUUGGGGAUGGACUCGCGGCUUAUCAGCUUGUUGGUGGGGUAGUGGCUUACCAAGGCUUUGACGGGUAGCCGGCCUGAGAGGGUGACCGGCCACAUGGGGACUGAGAUACGGCCCAGACUCCUACGGGAGGCAGCAGUGGGGAAUAUUGCACAAUGGGCGGAAGCCUGAUGCAGCAACGCCGCGUGCGGGAUGACGUCCUUCGGGUUGUAAACCGCUUUCGCCUGUGACGAAGCGUGAGUGACGGUAAUGGGUAAAGAAGCACCGGCUAACUACGUG